UUACAAUAUCAUUAAUUGGAACAAAGGUAGUUCCUAUUAUAUAUAUAGUAAUUAAGGAAAAAGGCGAGUUAUGGAUAAAUUAAGAAUAAUUGUAGAUGUAACUAGAUUGGAAAGUGUUUCUGGCUUUUAAAGCUAUUAAUAAUUGCAGAAAUUAUUAACUGCGGGCUUAGUGGAGAAAAUACAAAGAAUUAAUUUAAAUCCUCAGAUGAGAAAGAAUGAAGUGACCAAGUUUGGUAUUCCAUUGAGUACUGUUUCAAUGAUAAUAAAGAACAGAGAUUCAGUAGAGAGAAACUUCAAAAAUAACAAGAAAGUGAAAAAAAUUGAAAAUGUUCUUUUCUAGAUGUAGAUGAAUGUGUAAGAAAAUGGUUUGUGCAAUGUUGACCAAGAAGUUUGUUCCUCUUACAAGGAGACAGACAAACGUUUGCCUUUCUGAUUUGAAUGAAUCUUGGUGAGCACAUAGUCCUAAACACAAAUAGUUCCUUGUCCAAAUAAUAGGAUCCACUUUACAAGCAUCUCCAAAAAACAGGCCUCUGAAAAUUAAGUGUUUAGCUAUAAGUCUAGAAGUUCUAAUUAUGCUAUGAGCCCACACCAAAAAACUUUGUUUCCAAAAAUUGCAGGUCAAGACAAUGCUUUUCUGUUUUUAUGACUCCAAGGUUAUCAUACACAAGAAAUUUGUCCCAAACAGCCAUAAUGUUACCAGAGAAUAUUAUUUAGGUAUUUUGGAAUGUCUCUGGAACUGAAUUUCACAUACAUAGCCAGAGUUUCAUGCUCAAGGAAGCUGGACCCUACUGCAUGACAGUGUGCCCAUAAGAGCACUGCUGUUUGUCAAAUUUUGGCUCAAAAAGAUAUUAUAACCCUAGAUCAACCAUAUUCUCCCAAUCUGGCUCCCUGUGACUAUUUUCUGUUCCCAAAAGAAUGAACUCAAUCUCAAGAAUGAACUUGUAACAAGUCCCUUUCAUUGGGACCUGUUAUAAGUUCAUUCUUGAGGUUGAGGAUGCUGUAACUGCAGUACUGAACCAGAUGCCAAAACUGAAAGUCUUUUGAAAUGUUCAUCGCUCAUUCUAAACAUUGUAUUGCUGCAGAGGGAUCUUAUUUCAAAUAAAUAAACAUAUUUUUAUAAAUAUUUCUUGUAGUUUUUCCUUUCUAGAGGAAAAGUUUGGUUUAUUUUUAGACAACCUAUGUACAAAGCAAACCAGAAGCUUGGACAAGUUAAAUCUUUAGUGGCUGAUUGAAAGGAAUUGACAAAUCUUAUGGGUUUAAAAAAAAAGAAAAAUUCUUCUUUUUGUUGAUAACUGCAACAAUCAUUCCAAUCUCCCUACUCUAAAAAUAUCACUGUAAGAUUUUUGUCUCCAAUAUUACAUCUAAGCUGCAACCUCUUGAUUAAGGGAUCAUUGAAAGUUUCAAAGUAGGAUACAGGAGAGAACUGGUUCAAAAACUUAUAGAUGCCAUCAAUGAUGGCAAUACCCUUUCUACUAUCAAUGUUUUGGAUGCUAUGAGGAUAAUAGACUAUUCUUGGAGGAUUGUUACAGAGAAGACAAUCAAUGUUGAGAACUUUCCUUGAAUGUCCGGAAGAUAUUAGUUGGAUGCAUUUGCAGUAGUGUUGCAAUGAAUAGUAUAUUCGGCCAAACUAUUUGGCUUGAUUAACGCACGUACGAAAAUUUGCGCGCAAACUGCAUUAUGGCAAGGACCCUGCUCUCUAUUGGCCCACUGUCACUACGC